AGUUUGAUCCUGGUCAGAACGAACGCUGGCGGCGUGCCUAAUACAUGCAAGUCGAGCGGACAGAUGGGAGCUUGCUCCCUGAUGUUAGCGGCGGACGGGUGAGUAACACGUGGGUAACCUGCCUGUAAGACUGGGAUAACUCCGGGAAACCGGGGCUAAUACCGGAUGGUUGUUUGAACCGCAUGGUUCAAACAUAAAAGGUGGCUUCGGCUACCACUUACAGAUGGACCCGCGGCGCAUUAGCUAGUUGGUGAGGUAAUGGCUCACCAAGGCAACGAUGCGUAGCCGACCUGAGAGGGUGAUCGGCCACACUGGGACUGAGACACGGCCCAGACUCCUACGGGAGGCAGCAGUAGGGAAUCUUCCGCAAUGGACGAAAGUCUGACGGAGCAACGCCGCGUGAGUGAUGGAGGUUUUCGGAUCGUAAAGCUCUGUUGUUAGGGAAGAACAAGUACCGUUCGAAUAGGGCGGUCCUUGACGUACCUACCAGAAAGCCACGGCUAACUACGUGCCAGCAGCCGCGGCAAUACGUAGGUGGCAAGGUUGUCCGGAAUUAUUGGGCGUAAAGGGCUCGCAGGCGGUUUCUUAAGUCUGAUGUGAAAGCCCCCGGCUCAACCGGGGAGGGUCAUUGGAAACUGGGGAACUUGAGUGCAGAAGAGGAGAGUGGAAUUCCACGUGUAGCGGUGAAAUGCGUANAGAUGUGGAGGAACACCAGUGGCGAAGGCGACUCUCUGGUCUGUAACUGACGCUGAGGAGCGAAAGCAUGGGGAGCGAACAGGAUUAGAUACCCUGGUAGUCCACGCCGUAAACGAUGAGUGCUAAGUGUUAGGGGGUUUCCGCCCCUUAGUGCUGCAGCUAACGCAUUAAGCACUCCGCCUGGGGAGUACGGUCGCAAGACUGAAACUCAAAGGAAUUGACGGGGGCCCGCACAAGCGGUGGGGCAUGUGGUUUAAUUCGAAGCAACGCGAAGAACCUUACCAGGUCUUGACAUCCUCUGACAAUCCUGGAGAUAGGACGUCCCCUUCGGGGGCAGAGUGACAGGUGGUGCAUGGUUGUCGUCAGCUCGUGUCGUGAGAUGUUGGGUUAAGUCCCGCAACGAGCGCAACCCUUGAUCUUAGUUGCCAGCAUUUAGUUGGGCACUCUAAGGUGACUGCCGGUGACAAACCGGAGGAAGGUGGGGAUGACGUCAAAUCAUCAUGCCCCUUAUGACCUGGGCUACACACGUGCUACAAUGGACAGAACAAAGGGCAGCGAAACCGCGAGGUUAAGCCAAUCCCACAAAUCUGUUCUCAGUUCGGAUCGCAGUCAGCAACUCGACUGCGUGAAGCUGGAAUCGCUAGUAAUCACGGAUCAGCAUGCCGCGGUGAAUACGUUCCCGGGCCUUGUACACACCGCCCGUCACACCACGAGAGUUUGUAACACCCGAAGUCGGUGAGGUAACCUUUUAGGAGCCAGCCGCCGAAGGUGGGACAGAUGAUUGGGGUGAAGUCUAACAAGGUAGCCGUA
rnacentral:rRNA from 1 species